GGGUGAUGGGAGAAUUGGUAAAUCCGCUCGAUGCGCAUCAAAAAACAGGAAAGAGAGACGCUGGUUCGAUUCCAGCUCACCCCCCA
rnacentral:tRNA from 1 species